UUAAGUCUUGACGAGUAAGAGGGUCGCGACGGUGAGCGCAGAAGGGUCAGGGCGAGAGCCUGCCUGGAGCCGCCGUUGGUGCAGAUCUUGGUGGUAGUAGCAAAUACUCUAGCGAGGGCCUGGAGGACUGACGUGGAGAAGGGUUUCUUGUGAACAGCCGUUGCACAAGAGUCAGUCGACCCUGAGCCCUAGGAGAAAUCCGAUGACGAUGGGUGGCUUGACAAUAUAUGCACACACACAUGUGUGAACAUAAUAAUCAUAGACCACAGACUGUGUCUGUCGUUUAGUUAUGCACAAUGUGCUGCUUACGACUGUACAGCUCCUAUUGGGCAAAAGGGAAUCCGGUUCCUAUUCCGGAACCCGGCUGCGUAACCGUAUCUUUGCGGGCACUUGCUUGCGAGCGCUCGUCGGGGUAACCCUAACUGGCCUGGAGACGCCGGCGGGGGGUCUGGAAAGAGUUUUCUUUUCUUUAUAAGCGUUCGAGUACCAUGGAAUCCUAUAGCAGGGAGAUAUGGUUUGGAAUGCGAAGAGCACCGCAGUUGCGGCGGUGUCCGGACCUUCCCCCCGGACCUUGAAAAUCCAGGUGAGGGCCACGCGGAAGUCGCGCCGG
rnacentral:rRNA from 1 species